CCUACGGGAGGCUGCAGUGGGGGAUAUUGCACAAUGGGGGAAACCCUGAUGCAGCGACGCCGCGUGGGUGAAGAAGUAUUUCGGUAUGUAAAGCCCUAUCAGCAGGGAAGAAAGAAGACGGUACCUGACUAAGAAGCCCCGGCUAACUACGUGCCAGCAGCCGCGGUAAUACGUAGGGGGCGAGCGUUAUCCGGAUUCACUGGGUGUAAAGGGAGCGUAGACGGCCGUGCAAGCCAGGAGUGAAAGCCCGGGGCCCAACCCCGGGACUGCUCUUGGAACUGUGCGGCUGGAGUGCGGGAGGGGCAGGCGGAAUUCCUGGUGGAGCGGUGAAAUGCGUAGAUAUCAGGAGGAACACCGGCGGCGAAGGCGGCCUGCUGGACCGCGACUGACGUUGAGGCUCGAAAGCGUGGGGAGCGAACAGGAUUAGAUACCCGGGUAGUC
rnacentral:rRNA from 1 species